CUUCAACGACAUGUUGAUCUGGUCCUCCUCGCGUUCCAUAGCCGUAAACAUGGCACAAUCAACAGACGACACUAGAUGAUGAAACAUCGCCUGUGUUUUCACUUGAGUUUACAAGACAUCCUUACAGCAACAAUGUUGUCGAGCCACGUGAUGACCAAUCCGGUAUCUUGUGUAGAAUCCAUGAUGUCAUCUUGGCCAUCAAGUCUCUGGGCGUAGAUUAUGACUUAUUAGUUAUACUAAUUGGAUAUAUAAAUGUAGAGGAUUAUUUAACAAGUAUAAGUUAUUAUCUAUGAACAUAAAAACAGCAAAACACUCCAAAAUAAAAAAACUGAAAAACAAAACAAUUAAAACUAAACUUAAAACAAGAAAUUAAACAUAACGAAGACGAAAAAUAUAAAAAUAAAAAUAAAWAAAAAACUUAAUAAAGUCAACCAAGUUUGCGAAAACUAAACCACGUACAUCACCAACCCACAACCACAGACAAACUAAAGUAACGAGUGACUUGGGGUACACUGGGGAUAUUCAUAGUUAUAUCACUAAUAUUGUGCAUGAAUGUAACAGAAGUUAUCAAGUUUAAUAAAGAUGUUAUUAGAUAUACAGAAAA